CACGAACGCUGGCGGCAGGCUUAACACAUGCAAGUCGAGCGCCCCGCAAGGGGAGCGGCAGACGGGUGAGUAACGCGUGGGAAUCUACCCAUCUCUACGGAAUAACGCACCGAAACGGGUGCUAAUCCCGCAUACUUCCUUCGGGAGAAAGAUUUAUCGGAGAUGGAUGAGCCCGCGUUGGAUUAGGUAGUUGGUGGGGUAAAGGCCUACCAAGGGUACGAUCCAUAGCUGGUCUGAGAGGAUGAUCAGCCACACUGGGACUGAGACACGGCCCAGACUCCUACGGGAGGCAGCAGUGGGGAAUAUUAGACAAUGGGCGCAAGCCUGAUCCAGCCAUGCCGCGUGAGUGAUGAAGGCCCUAGGGUUGUAAAGCUCUUUCACCGGUGAAGAUAAUGACGGUAACCGGAGAAGAAGCCCCGGCUAACUUCGUGCCAGCCGCCGCCGUAACAC
rnacentral:rRNA from 1 species